GUGGGAUCUUCCCGGACCACGGAUCGAACCCGUGUCCCUUGCACUGGCCGGCGGAUUCUCAACCACUGCACCACCAGAGAAGCCAGGUGCUAUUCUUUUUGGCUAAGGUUAUGUCAACGUAUAGAAGGAAUCUUGUAAGUAAUGAUCAUUGACCAGAAUAAAGGUGUUUAGCCUCUCCCAAGGUCUAAAAAUCACUCAAAAAAAAAAAAAAAGUUUAUUCGCAAGUACUGUUGGGACACUUUCUGUUUCUGAGAAUUUAGGCCAAAAAUUUGUACAACAUAGCCUCGUGGAGCAGAGAGAAGAACCCUUAAAGUCAUCUUUUCUGACUGUCCACUUCUAAGGAAACUGAGGCCCAGGGAAGAGACAGAUCAUGGUCCCACAGCUCAGCGUUUGGACCAGCUGACCCAUCAGGGAAGAAACUCAAUGUGAUAUUGCCCUCAGGGAACUUGCAUUCUGGAGGUGGACCCCAUUGUUCCCUGGGAUAUGACCAUCCGUAUCCUGAUCCCUCUUGAGCUUUUGUACCAUCCUCACUACCUUAGGAAAUAUUAAAAUUGAUCUUUGUUGCA